CCAAAUUUUAGAGGCAAAGUGUUAGUAUUCAGAUUUACUACAUCCUUCUGGCACAAAACCUUGGUAAGACGAUAUUCUACAAAGCAAUAACUAUCCUGAACUGAAAGACUUAAUUACAAUAAUUAAGUUUAGGAAUGAACAAUCAAGUUACAUAUAAUCUUAAACAAAUAUUUCAAUCACUACUAUAAUGAGACAAGGUGGGAGACAGGAGACUGGCCUGAAAAUUACCUUUCAACAUAACAUUACCCAUAUUACUGUUUUUCUUCUUCUUGCUCUAAAUGAAAUGCAUAAUAAUCACUCAGU
rnacentral:lncRNA from 1 species